rnacentral:rRNA from 1 species
GACGAACGCUGGCGGCGUGCUUAACACAUGCAAGUCGAACGAUGAAGCCGGAGCUUGCUCUGGUGAAUUAGUGGCGAACGGGUGAGUAACACGUGAGUAACCUGCCCUUGACUCUGGGAUAACUGCUAGAAAUGGUAGCUAAUACCGGAUACGACCCUCGGAGGCAUCUUUAGGGGGUGGAAAGCAUUUCGGUCAAGGAUGGACUCGCGGCCUAUCAGCUAGUUGGUGAGGUAAUGGCUCACCAAGGCGACGACGGGUAGCCGGCCUGAGAGGGUGACCGGCCACACUGGGACUGAGACACGGCCCAGACUCCUACGGGAGGCAGCAGUGGGGAAUAUUGCACAAUGGGCGCAAGCCUGAUGCAGCAACGCCGCGUGAGGGAUGACGGCCUUCGGGUUGUAAACCUCUUUUAGUAGGGAAGAAGCGAAAGUGACGGUACCUGCAGAAAAAGCACCGGCUAACUACGUGCCAGCAGCCGCAGUAA